CAGGUCUUGACAUCCCUCUGACCGGUCUAGAGAUAGGCCUUUCCUUCGGGACAGAGGAGACAGGUGGUGCAUGGUUGUCGUCAGCUCGUGUCGUGAGAUGUUGGGUUAAGUCCCGCAACGAGCGCAACCCUUAUGCUUAGUUGCCAGCAGGUCAAGCUGGGCACUCUAAGCAGACUGCCGGUGACAAACCGGAGGAAGGUGGGGAUGACGUCAAAUCAUCAUGCCCCUUAUGACCUGGGCUACACACGUACUACAAUGGCCGGUACAACGGGAAGCGAAGCCGCGAGGCGGAGCCAAUCCUAGAAAAGCCGGUCUCAGUUCGGAUUGUAGGCUGCAACUCGCCUACA
rnacentral:rRNA from 1 species